GGCGAGAGCGGCAGUUGGGGCUGGGCAGGCAUGUCCUUCCCUCCAUCGAGGACCUGGUCAGUUACAUGAAGAGGAGGCCAUUACUAGGUGGCUGCAGGUACUGCUGGCUCCUCAUGGAUAUGGCUGAUGAGUGAGAACAACUUCCACUACAGGAUCCUGCCACUGAAAACCUGCAUACGUGCAGCCUGCUACCAUCUUGUUCCUGGGAAGGAUAUAGUUGUGUAUCUGCUGCAAACCAAGAGAGGGAGCCCAGUGACCAAGAACCUCCAGCUGCCCUCAUAUCCUCCUCUGCUUCUAUAGGACCCAUCAGGAUUUCUGGGCCUUGCUUCCUAGGGUCCUCAUCUUUUGGAGUCUGUCUUUUUCCCCACCAGCCGACCUGGGAUGACUGUCAGCAACUCCUCCAGACCUUAUUCACAUCACAGUAAAAGAGAACAAAUUGAGGUGGAAUCCUGGAAACUUGUCCUGGGUCCAGAUAUGGAGAUCAACACGAAUUAUGGUAAGGAGGCUCUCAGUCAGUAUUGCCAAACUCCACUGAGAGGGAUUAGAGUAGUGGCAUGGAAGCCCAGCAACCAAAGUCAAGGUGAGCAAAACCAUGCAGGGUCUGAGUGAGUCUCCCGCUGCCUUCCUAGAGAGACUCUUUGGGGCCUACCGAUGCUAUGCUCCCAUGGACCCAGAGUCCUCAGAGAAUAGGCAAGCAAUGAGCAUCGCGUUCGUGACCCAGUUG